GGGUUGUGAGGUUAAGCGACUAAGCGUACACGGUGGAUGCCCUGGCAGUCAGAGGCGAUGAAGGACGUGCUAAUCUGCGAAAAGCGUCGGUAAGGUGAUAUGAACCGUUAUAGCCGGCGAUGUCCGAAUGGGGAAACCCAGUGCAAUUCGUUGCACUAUCGUUAACUGAAUACAUAGGUUAACGAGGCGAACCGGGGGAACUGAAACAUCUAAGUACCCCGAGGAAAAGAAAUCAACCGAGAUUCCCCCAGUAGCGGCGAGCGAACGGGGAGCAGCCCAGAGUCUGAAUCAGCUUGUGUGUUAGUGGAACGGUCUGGAAAGUCCGACGGUACAGGGUGAUAGUCCCGUACACCAAAAUGCACAGGUUGUGAACUCGAAGAGUAGGGCGGGACACGUGGUAUCCUGUCUGAAUAUGGGGGGACCAUCCUCCAAGGCUAAAUACUCCUGACUGACCGAUAGUGAACCAGUACCGUGAGGGAAAGGCGAAAAGAACCCCGGCGAGGGGAGUGAAAAAGAACCUGAAACCGUGUACGUACAAGCAGUGGGAGCACCUUCGGGUGUGACUGCGUACCUUUUGUAUAAUGGGUCAGCGACUUAUAUUCUGUAGCAAGGUUAACCGUAUAGGGGAGCCGCAGGGAAACCGAGUCUUAACUGGGCGUUAAGUUGCAGGGUAUAGACCCGAAACCCGGUGAUCUAGCCAUGGGCAGGUUGAAGGUUGGGUAACACUAACUGGAGGACCGAACCGACUAAUGUUGAAAAAUUAGCGGAUGACUUGUGGCUGGGGGUGAAAGGCCAAUCAAACCGGGAGAUAGCUGGUUCUCCCCGAAAGCUAUUUAGGUAGCGCCUCGUGAACUCAUCUUCGGGGGUAGAGCACUGUUUCGGCUAGGGGGUCAUCCCGACUUACCAACCCGAUGCAAACUACGAAUACCGAAGAAUGUUAUCACGGGAGACACACGGCGGGUGCUAACGUCCGUCGUGAAGAGGGAAACAACCCAGACCGCCAGCUAAGGUCCCAAAGUCAUGGUUAAGUGGGAAACGAUGUGGGAAGGCACAGACAGCCAGGAUGUUGGCUUAGAAGCAGCCAUCAUUUAAAGAAAGCGUAAUAGCUCACUGGUCGAGUCGGCCUGCGCGGAAGAUGUAACGGGGCUAAACCAUGCACCGAAGCUGCGGCAGCGACACUAUGUGUUGUUGGGUAGGGGAGCGUUCUGUAAGCCUGCGAAGGUGACCUGUGAGGGUUGCUGGAGGUAUCAGAAGUGCGAAUGCUGACAUAAGUAACGAUAAAGCGGGUGAAAAGCCCGCUCGCCGGAAGACCAAGGGUUCCUGUCCAACGUUAAUCGGGGCAGGGUGAGUCGACCCCUAAGGCGAGGCCGAAAGGCGUAGUCGAUGGGAAACAGGUUAAUAUUCCUGUACUUGGUGUUACUGCGAAGGGGGGACGGAGAAGGCUAUGUUAGCCGGGCGACGGUUGUCCCGGUUUAAGCAUGUAGGCUGAUUGUCCAGGCAAAUCCGGAUAAUCAAGGCUGAGGUGUGAUGACGAGGCACUACGGUGCUGAAGUAACAAAUGCCCUGCUUCCAGGAAAAGCCUCUAAGCAUCAGGUAACAUCAAAUCGUACCCCAAACCGACACAGGUGGUCAGGUAGAGAAUACCAAGGCGCUUGAGAGAACUCGGGUGAAGGAACUAGGCAAAAUGGUGCCGUAACUUCGGGAGAAGGCACGCUGGUGUGUAGGUGAAGUCCCUGCGGAUGGAGCUGAGACCAGUCGAAGAUACCAGCUGGCUGCAACUGUUUAUUAAAAACACAGCACUGUGCAAACACGAAAGUGGACGUAUACGGUGUGACGCCUGCCCGGUGCCGGAAGGUUAAUUGAUGGGGUUAUCCGUAAGGAGAAGCUCUUGAUCGAAGCCCCGGUAAACGGCGGCCGUAACUAUAACGGUCCUAAGGUAGCGAAAUUCCUUGUCGGGUAAGUUCCGACCUGCACGAAUGGCGUAAUGAUGGCCAGGCUGUCUCCACCCGAGACUCAGUGAAAUUGAACUCGCUGUGAAGAUGCAGUGUACCCGCGGCAAGACGGAAAGACCCCGUGAACCUUUACUAUAGCUUGACACUGAACAUUGAGCCUUGAUGUGUAGGAUAGGUGGGAGGCUUUGAAGCGUGGACGCCAGUCUGCGUGGAGCCAACCUUGAAAUACCACCCUUUAAUGUUUGAUGUUCUAACGUUGGCCCCUGACCGGGGUUGCGGACAGUGUCUGGUGGGUAGUUUGACUGGGGCGGUCUCCUCCCAAAGCGUAACGGAGGAGCACGAAGGUUAGCUAAUCCUGGUCGGACAUCAGGAGGUUAGUGCAAUGGCAUAAGCUAGCUUGACUGCGAGCGUGACGGCGCGAGCAGGUGCGAAAGCAGGUCAUAGUGAUCCGGUGGUUCUGAAUGGAAGGGCCAUCGCUCAACGGAUAAAAGGUACUCCGGGGAUAACAGGCUGAUACCGCCCAAGAGUUCAUAUCGACGGCGGUGUUUGGCACCUCGAUGUCGGCUCAUCACAUCCUGGGGCUGAAGUAGGUCCCAAGGGUAUGGCUGUUCGCCAUUUAAAGUGGUACGCGAGCUGGGUUUAGAACGUCGUGAGACAGUUCGGUCCCUAUCUGCCGUGGGCGCUGGAGAAUUGAGGGGGGCUGCUCCUAGUACGAGAGGACCGGAGUGGACGCAUCACUGGUGUUCGGGUUGUCAUGCCAAUGGCACUGCCCGGUAGCUAAAUGCGGAAGAGAUAAGUGCUGAAAGCAUCUAAGCACGAAACUUGCCCCGAGAUGAGUUCUCCCUGAGACUUUAAGUCUCCUGAAGGAACGUUAAAGACGAUGACGUUGAUAGGCCGGGUGUGUAAGCGCAGCGAUGCGUUGAGCUAACCGGUACUAAUGAACCGUGAGGCUUAACCUUACAACGCCGAAG
rnacentral:rRNA from 1 species